rnacentral:lncRNA from 1 species
CCCGAUGUACCAAUUCUAUCAUGUUGAAGAGAAAAGGAAACCUCAUCGACUUCAUCAUCAUUUUUCACACAUACAUGCACUCCUCUGUUUAAGAAAUCAUUUUCUAGCUGUCUUUCUUCCUCUGAUGUGUUUGGAAGAUGAGUGGAGGCAUUGCCUAAUCCUCCAGUAACUGUAAUCCUGCUAAAUAUUCUUUAAUAAAUAUAUAUACCGUAUAAAAGUGUUGUCAAAAUUCCUGUGCAGUAUUAACUUUAUUGGUAUUUGGAUCCCAUGUAACACCUGUAUGUUCCAAAAGUUCAAAAAACAUGCGAUGAAUUUUACGUAAGCGGUUCCACUUUCCCUUUAAUCUAUCUAUGCCGUAAUCCAUUUUUGUUGAACCUAUCAUGGUCUCAUUGAUUCUGCCACAUUGGUCUUUCGUGAAUGUAGAACAUUGCAAUGCAAUUGAUUUGACUUUCUCGUAAAGAAUUUCGAUAAAAGCGUGUUCAUUCUCGUCUGACCAUGACAUUGGUUCCUUAUUCCUAACUUUGUGACCACCCAUGUUGAAACUAUAUUGAAUAUACAUAAAAUUAUCAAGAAAUACAUAAGACCUUCCAUGGACGAUUUGAGGAGGACAUAUUGUGUGAUUUUAAUUAUAGUCACAUACCAUCAAUUGUCAUUAGAUGCGUAUAGUACUAAUUUGCAUAGAUCCAUUAACCAAGAAACAUUGGAUAUUGCAAACAAAAUCCCCGAAAAAGAAGAAGAAUAUUUAGCACUCGAAUAGAAAACACCACAAUUGUUGAAUCUCAAUUGCUUUCUCUUUCUAAGAAACUUGGCAAGUAGCUUAGUAGGCAGCAAAGAAAACAAACCCACUUUCCAUUCGCUUACCAACCAAACCUCAAUGACAGCAUUUGAUUUUAAAGCUUUGUGACCUUUCCUAACCAUGGGUCAGGUAAGUAAAACAAGAAUGCAUCAAAAACAUUGACUAUACUUUUCCCUAUGGUCAUCCUAUUGGAAAGGAAUAUGAACAACAACCUAUUAGUCCAUCAUUGUGCUAAUAGAAUGAAAUAUAAAGAACAUUGACUAUAAUUUUCCCUAUGGUCAUCCUAUUCAUGCAAAUAUCAAGUGUUGACAAACUUAUAAACAGCUUUGGUGCAUUUUAUCUUUACUAGUUAAUGUUCUAGCAAAUUAUGUUAAGCUUUCCUGGAAAUUUAUGAGAGUAGGCCAAUGAUUGUGCUGAUAUUUAGCGAUAAACUCUCAAGAAUUUUCAUGUGAGGGUCAUUGAAUUGUGAAGCCUUCGCUGGACUAUUUCUUUUCAUUGGCCAAGGAUCUUAAGGGAUUACCUACUAGGAGAAUUACUUCUUAAUGGAACUAUAGCCUGUAAAUAUUUAGCAAGAAAGUGUCAGAAAAAAAAAGGGACAAACAUGGGUCGAAAUGGGAUCCAUCCAGUGAUUUUUUAGAAAAGAAUAAAUAAAAUUACAAUAAAAAUCAAAAGAUGAAUUUCAAGGCGUGUUUUAUAAAUUUAAACCAAUGAAACCAUAAUUGUAACGGGUUUCUUGCAAUCGGCCAAGUCAGCAAGUUCUUGAGCGAUUUUAUAAUAGAUGGAUUUUUUGCCUAACAGAUUAAGGGGUUGUUUUCUUUGUGUUCCAAUUUUGUGAUUUUGAGUUUUGAAUUCAUUUUGAGUUUGGUGUUUUGAAUGCUUGUUUUGAAAUUAAUGAAAAUACGUUUUUUUAUAUCAUUCUGAAAAACUGUUUUUGGAAACAUAAAAUUGAAAAACGUGUUUACUUUGAAAUUUUGAGAAUAUUUUUAUAAUAUUUUAUUCAAGAAAUAUGAUUAUUCAAUAAAUUUUAAUAGUUUAAUGUUAAUAUAAUAUAAUAACAUAUAAAUUUUGAAAUUGGUGAAUUUUGAAAUAUUUUUAACAGAUAUAAAAAACACAACCUAAAUUAAAUUUGACAACACGGAUUAAUAGAUCUAUUAGAAGUUUACGUGUCAUGUCAAAACAAGUAGACACUACACAAAAUAUAAAUGUACGAUAUCUUGAGUAAUCAUUCCACAUUUGAGUAACAAUUUGAUCCCUGACUUGUCCCAUUUGAGCUGUUUGACUAGCAUCUAAAUGUAUAACUUCUUGUUCUUAACUAUUAACUUCAUUAUCCGAUUGAUUACAUGAUUUUCCUUGGAUCUUUGCAAGCUUUUCUUUUAGGUAAAGUGUUCUAAGUUUAGUUUUCUCAUUCCUCAAACUUUACACAAGUGACCACUGUGCCAUGCAGACCUCAAGUUUAUCAUUUUUACUGAUCUUAGGUUCCUUACGUCGACAUUCACCCGAUGUACCAAUUCUAUCAUGUUGAAGAGAAAAGGAAACCUCAUCGACUUCAUCAUCAUUUUUCACACAUACAUGCACUCCUCUGUUUAAGAAAUCAUUUUCUAGCUGUCUUUCUUCCUCUGAUGUGUUUGGAAGAUGAGUGGAGGCAUUGCCUAAUCCUCCAGUAACUGUAAUCCUGCUAAAUAUUCUUUAAUAAAUAUAUAUACC